rnacentral:lncRNA from 10 species
CCAGGCUCUAGAGCCACAGCGCCAACAACAGCGCAAUUGCCUAACAGCAGUUUCUCAGCCUCUCCCAUGGAGGUGCCCUAACCCACAGGAGUGACCUCAUCCCUGCAGGAGCCUGCACUGCAGGGGAAGCAGCUGUCAUAUCAUGAGGACACUCAAGUCAACCCAUUGAGAGGCCCACAGCGGGGAACUGAGGCCUUCUGCCAGCAACCAUGUGAGUGCACCAUCAUGGAAAUGGACCAUCCAGCCUCGGUCAAGCCUUCAGGUGACUGCAGCCACUUGAGUGACCCCGAGCCAGAACUAGCUGGCUAAGCCACUCAGGGCCAAUUUGUCCGCUAAACACAGGAGGCACCAUGCCUUGGGCCCACAAGACAUUUAGGACCAGUGAAAAUGUUUUUCACUUCUUUUAAAAUUAGGAGAAAGAAGGAACUUUUAGGUCAAAGAAAAUGUUUUUAAUAUAUAACAUUAAUAUAUUUAUCUUUAUACCAACACAAUCAUGAAAUGUGAUUUUUCAAAUAUUCUUUGAAAAGGGAAGAGGCCAUAAAAGGCAAAAGUGCCUAGGUCCCAUAAACAUCAUCAUGUGGUCCUGAAGCUGCUCCAGAAUUCCUGACCAACAGAAACUUGGAGAUAAUAAAUAC